AGGGAGCUGGGGGCAGGCUAACUUCACAGACCAGGCUUUCUCUGUUUGUAAUUAGUAAGACACUUAGGAGGAGAAAGGGGUCCCUGCAAAAAGAGCCCCUCUCUCCAAAACAGCUAAUCAGGUUAUCCAAAAAACUGGUGCUGGGGAAAGCAUAUGGGAUUUGCAGAGAAGAAAGAACCAGAGGAUCUUGGGCAAGAUGAAGACAGCUGGUGAGACAUGGACUGGAUAGCUGUUUGCCGUUUUGCUGUUUGCCUCCUUGUCACGACCUCAGCGACGGCAGAUGGAGCCAGUGGAGGGAGAGAGACAGACGGCAAUGCUUGGGUAGCCAGGGCUCCCUGCCGGCCCCACUCCUCCUGCAGACACGAGCACGCACACACACACGCGCGCAAAACACACACGCUGCCCUUCGCCACACGUAGCCAAGUAAAAUACACAAAAAGCAACUGAGAUACCAUUCGCACAUGACCACAUGGAAACACACAAAUGAACAAACGCAUUCAGGCAUAGCCACAUGCCAGUCACACAGAUGGAUAGACAAGAGCCUGGGGUACAAAGCCACAUGGCACAAAGCCACCUGGAUGUAUAUGCCCCUACACACGCACACAGAAAAAAA
rnacentral:lncRNA from 1 species